rnacentral:tRNA from 1 species
CAGGGAGACAACAAAAUGUUUAAUAUUAUUAUUUUGUCACCUUAGGUCGAUCGGUAUCUCACAUUCUUAAUUUAUUAAGAAUUUCAUUUCCUAAGUUUUUCUAGGUCACACCCAUUAUUUUCCUGGGCCAUUAGCUCAGGUGGUUAGAGCGCACCCCUGAUAAGGGUGAGGUCCCUGGUUCAAGUCCAGGAUGGCCCAUAUCUCUAUGUUGGGGGUAUAGCUCAGUUGGUAGAGCGCCUGCUUUGCAAGCAGGAUGUCAGCGGUUCGAGUCCGCUUACCUCCACUGAUCACCACCUCUUCCAUAAUUUGUAAAGGAAAAUGCUUUGAGUUGUGAUCAAAUUCUGAACGAAUCUAGCUUCCUAAUGAAAUCAUUAAGAUGCUGGACUCAUUGAAUUAAUUUCAUUGUUUUCAGAGAACCUUGACAACUGCAUAGAUUAUUUUAAAGACAAUAAGCAUCUUUAUGAUGCAGAUUUAUUAUUUGUGCGAAUGCAUUAAUAACAAUUCUAUUAAGCUGAUACUUUAAAUUUUGAAGUUAUU